UAACUGUUAAUUAAAAUUUUUACCAAUAACUCCUAUCUUUUAUUGCCAAACGCCCGUUAACGACAACCAAAUGUUCCCGCCAAAAAGACCACUACUCUUCUCAAAACGCACCCGCUGUUUUUUCUGCUCCGCAUGCCUCCCUCACCCAGCAGAGUUGGAAGGCCACAACUCUCUAUUCUUGCAGACAUAUGCACCUCAAUGAUCCAAAUCAAGCAAAUCCAUGCCCAAAUGAUUGUCACCUCUCGGAUUUCUGACCACUUUGCUGCAAGCCGUUUACUCUCCUUUUGCGCUCUCUCUGAUUCUGGUGAUCUCAAUUAUGCAAAAAAAGUGUUCGAAAACAUUCAGGAUCCAAAUAUCUUUAUGUGGAAUACUCUCAUUAGAGCUUUAGCGAAUAGCGCAUGUCCUAAUCAAGCUGUGUUUCAGUAUAUACAAAUGAGGAGAUGUGGCAUUUCUUCAAAUGAACAUACCUUCCCUUCUCUUCUCAAGGGAUGUUGCAGCUCUUGUUCAAUUGAAACUUGCAAGCAGGUGCAUUCUCAUGUUUUGAAAUUUGGGUUGGAGUUGGAUUUUCGUGUUGUUAAUGGAUUAGUAAGGGGCUACUGUGUUUCGAAUUAUUUGAGUGAUGCUCGCAAAUUGUUUGACGAAUUUCCUGGGAGGAAUUUGAGUAUCUGGACUAGUAUGAUUACGGGGUAUGCUCAAAAUUUUUGUGCUAAUGAAGCUUUAUUAUUGUUCGAUCUAAUGCUUGCAGAGGGGUUUGAACCGAAUGGGCCCACAAUUGCUUCCGUGUUGUCUGCUAGUGCUCGUUCAGGUUGUUUAGAUUUGGGAGAGAAAAUUCAUGCUUUUAUGCUGGAGAGAGGGAUCGAAAUGGGAGUGAUUCUAGGCACUGCACUGGUGCAUAUGUAUGCAAAAAAUGGAGCAAUUUCAAUGGCUAAAAAAUUGUUUGAUUCAAUGUAUGAAAAAAAUGUUGCUACUUGGAAUGCAAUGUUAUGUGGUUUGGCUAGUAAUGGACUGACUGAAGAAGCAAUUGAUCUUUUUAGGAAGCUAAAGAAAGAGCAUAUAGAGCCAAAUGAUGCAACCUUUGUUGGGGUUUUGUCCGCCUGCUGCCAUGCUGGCUUGAUUGACGUUGGUCAUGAGAUCUUUCAUUCCAUGAAGGAGGUGUACGGCAUUGAGCCCAAGAUUGAACAUUACGGGUGCAUGGUGGAUCUUCUUGGGCGGGGUGGGAAGCUAGUUGAGGCUGAAGAGUUGAUAAAGGAAAUGACAUGGAAAGCUGAUGUUGUGAUUUUGGGAGCCUUGUUAGCUGCUUGUAAAAAUCAUGGCAACAUUGAGAUUGCUGAAAGAAUGGCAAAAAAGAUUCUAGUCUUGGAACCUAAUACUCAUAUGGUUUAUGUUGUUUUGUGCAAUAUAUAUGCUGAGGCUGGGCAAUGGCAAGAUGUAUCAAGGAUUAGGAAAGUGAUGAAAGCAGGUAAUUUGAAGAAAACACCAGGGUGGAGCCUUGUGGAUGGUAAUAAUUAAGUCUAGUUUCUCCUGUGAAUGUAUACCACAGAUAAAAUUACAUGGCAAAAUGGAGACAUGGGCAUGAUUAUAGGACAGUUGGCUGCAUCUGCAUUGUCAAUUUCUGACUAUGGGCAUUGAUAAAGUUGAAACUCUGGAAAGGGCACACAAGAUGGCUUCAAAGCUGAGUUUGAUUCUUUCGAGUGGCUUUGUUCAAUGCUUGGCCUCUUUCUGUGUCAUUUAUCAUGUCUUUCAUCCCUUUUCAUGUACUUAAUUUGCCGAGUCUGACACCAAGAAUAGUCGAUCUCCCGUUCCUCGUAGCCAUUUGCUUGUAUUAACUCUUCAAUCUUUUUGGUGCAUGCCACUGAUGCAUAGAUAUGAGGCUAGGAUCAUGCAAUGGAGAAUUAGAUCAAAAUGCAUAAAGUCCUCUUCCAUGCAUAAUGUAAAUGGUGAAGAACUGAGAUCAAUAACAUGAUGCUGCUCUUCCAGAUGAAGAUGAUAUUGGUAACUAAUUAAGGAAUCUGUUACCAAUUGGGCUUGGCUGCAGAGCAGGGACAAGAAAUCUCCUCAAACUGUUGAAUGGAAAAGUGAUGUCUACCACCAUUGAUGCACAAGCUCAUUACUUGUCUGGUUGUCUCACAUACAACCAUAACCCUGCUAACCUUCAGACAAGUGGUCUAACUGUGAUGUCCAAGUGGUAGAAUAAAAAAAAAAAAAAAAGCUUUGUCCUACAUGUAUCCAUAGUCCUGUUAACAAUUAAUGUUGUCUAAUUGUUUUAGGCUUGUUGUUACCUGGUAUAUACAUAUACACUGGCAGUAUACACAUUUCAUUUGACGCUUAGGUAGUUAUGAAAAACUAGAAAAUAUUUUAUGGUUUGUAGUAAUGAAGGUGAUAAAUGAGGAACAGUAGGAGAGAAUUUAGGUUUUAAUAUAUAUUAACCCAAUAGUGAAAUUUUAGGUAUAUGUAUGGUUGAAACUAACUAGUCUCCGAGUUGGUAGGUUCAAAAUGAAAUCUGACCCUUGCAUUUUAGUUUGAGUUGAGGAGGUAGACUAGUCAAUAACAGUGGGCCGCUUCAUUCAUUAAGUACAACUUGCAGGAAACUUCAUGGUCGGUGCAGUUUUGCUAAUAUAUUAAUCUUGGAAGUCAACAAAGUGAAGUCAACUACUUGAGCACAUGAGGUACUAUUAUCAAACUCAGUCCUCGCUCUUCAUCUUUCUCGAUCAAGAAAAAUGCAUAAGGCAACAGUGGUUGUGCCACUCCUUUUCAUCGGAGCAGUAU